rnacentral:lncRNA from 1 species
GUUGUGGUUGAACUUCUUCAAAGUCAGGCACAGGCAUUAUCACUUCCACGUUUGCACAUCGUCGAUCCACAUCUACAGAUUAUAGAAGCAACGGGACAUCACAAGCACUAGGGAAAGAUGGAGGGAGUAGAGCACCUAAAACCACCAGGAGAGGGACAUCACAAUGACAGCAAGCAUCUAUAGUGAGAGAUGAGGGGAGGAGGGAAGAAGAUAGAGAGGGGAAAAGCUUACCGUCGUCGGAGCUCAUGGUGAAGACUAGCAGUGGAAGAGAGAAGACCGAAGAAGUGGAGUUGCGAGGAGAGGAGUCGUGAGGUGGAGAAAAACCGAGCCUAGAAGAAAAUUGCGGCUGCCUUCAGGGUAUCCCCUGCAGCCCCUCUAUUCUAUCUAAACCCUAAACCCUAACAGACCAAAAACUUAAAGCCCAUUAGCCCAGUCCC